UGGACGUCGGUGACGAAGGUGGUAGCACCGAGCAGGUGAACGGUCUCGGGGACGUUCUCCGGCUUGGCGAUACACUUGAUGAGCUCGGGGAUGAAGCGCUCGAUGUCCUUGUUGGAGAUGAGGGCGCAGACCUUCUCCAUGGUGGCGUAGGCGGCCUUCUUGACCUCGGGCUUGGUGUCCCACAUGGACUCU
rnacentral:snoRNA from 1 species